GAUGUCAUCCAAGGCUACUAUUAAUUAUACCAGCAUAAUAAUUUGAGUUAUGUAAAGUCUACAGUGAUGCAUGUCUGAUACACAGAAGCAGCUUUUCUGUGUCUGAUACAGGGGAUCUGGUGAUAAAAGACACACCAGCAGACUAUGAUGAUGCUGGGACUGUUAGGCAGGACUCAGGACAUUUCUUUGGAUCAGGGUUGAUGGUGACAGGAGACACAUCAGAGGACUAUGAUGAUGUUGAGGGUAUAGAGCAGAGCCCACAUGUUUUACCAGGUGAGAGAGCCUUGACCACACUGCCCCCCAGGGAGGGCCCCCCUGAACCCGACCAGACUGACUAUGAUGAUGUGGGGAGGAGGGACUGACAGUCCUGCAUGAGGAAGCUCCUGUCCAAAGGUUCACAUAAAAGGGGCAAAACAGCUUUAUAUUUUAUACAGAGACUGUCACUAGUUCAGUUUUUCUAAAUUCAUCUGUCUUUUUAAAAAGGCCAUAUCUUUGUAUUGUUAUUCAUGAUAAAUGAAAUAAACAUAUAUUAAAUUCAAAUCUUUUGAAUUUGAGUACAAGCAUACCUAAAAUUGAGUAAGACUGACAAGGAGAAGUAGUUGGAUCCGUCAAUCUAUAGUAAUUAUUAACUGAUUAAUAUUAUAUCCCUGAAAGAAAGUGUAAGAGAGGGAGGUACAGCAUGGACCAGACUCCAGGCACUCAGAUGUACACACAGUCACUCACUCACAC